UUAAUCACACCAGUGCUUUGGCAACUGCUGAGCAGGGCUGGUGCAGCAUCUGCAUUGUCAGCUUCGUCCCAUGAAUCGGGGGCAAGAUCAUGGGAGGCGAUACAGACAGGGUCUCAUGGAACCAAAGGACUGCUGGGAGACUGGGGGAACUCAUGGAAUCAAGUGGCCGUCGUGGCACUGCCCUGCCUCAUAGAAGCAAAUGUUCCCUGGGAAACUACAGAAACCAGGGACUUAAGGGACAUCAUUGGGAUGUGCGGGACCUCAUGGAAUUAAACAAACCGUGGGAUAUCUUUGGAACUUCAUGGAAUCAAAGGGAUA